rnacentral:rRNA from 1 species
GAUGAACGCUGGCGGCGUGCCUAAUACAUGCAAGUCGAGCGAACAGACGAGGAGCUUGCUCCUCUGACGUUAGCGGCGGACGGGUGAGUAACACGUGGAUAACCUACCUAUAAGACUGGGAUAACUUCGGGAAACCGGAGCUAAUACCGGAUAAUAUAUUGAACCGCAUGGUUCAAUAGUGAAAGACGGUUUUGCUGUCACUUAUAGAUGGAUCCGCGCCGCAUUAGCUAGUUGGUAAGGUAACGGCUUACCAAGGCAACGAUGCGUAGCCGACCUGAGAGGGUGAUCAGCCACACUGGAACUGAGACACGGUCCAGACUCCUACGGGAGGCAGCAGUAGGGAAUAUUCCGCAAUGGGCGAAAGCCUGACGGAGCAACGCCGCGUGAGUGAUGAAGGUCUUCGGAUCGUAAAACUCUGUUAGUAGGGAAGAACAAAUGUGUAAGUAACUAUGCACGUCUUGACGGUACCUAAUCAGAAAGCCACGGCUAACUACGUG